rnacentral:rRNA from 1 species
AACGUAGGGGGCGAGCGUUGUCCGGAAUUACUGGGCGUAAAGCGUACGUAGGCGGCUUGUUAAGCAAGAUGUGAAAUCCCUGGGCUCAACCUAGGAAUUGCGCUUGUGACUGGCGGGCUCGAGUACGGUAGAGGGGGGUGGAAUUCCUGGUGUAGCAGUGAAAUGCGUAGAGAUCAGGAGGAACACCGAUGGCGAAGGCAGCCCCCUGGGCCUGUACUGACGCUCAUGCACGAAAGCGUGGGGAGCAAACAGG